CCUACGGGGGGCAGCAGUGAGGAAUAUUGGUCAAUGGGCGCGAGCCUGAACCAGCCAAGUCGCGUGAGGGAAGACGGCCCUACGGGUUGUAAACCUCUUUUGCCGGGGAGCAACGGGCGCCACGUGUGGCGCCACUGAGAGUACCCGGAGAAAAAGCAUCGGCGAACUCCUUACCAGCAGCCGCGGUAAUACGGAGGAUGCGAGCGUUAUCCGGAUUUAUUGGGUUUAAAGGGUGCGUAGGCGGAGCGUUAAGUCAGUGGUAAAAUUGAGGGGCUCAACCCCUUCCCGCCAUUGAAACUGGCGCUCUUGAGUGGAAGAGAGGUAGGCAGAAUGCGUGGUGUAGCGGUGAAAUGCAUAGAGAUCACGCAGAACCCCGAUUGCGAAGGCAGCAUGCCGGCUUCCGACUGACGCUGAAGCACGAAAGCGUGGGGAUCGAACAGGAUUAGAUACCCGUGUAGUC
rnacentral:rRNA from 1 species